rnacentral:rRNA from 1 species
UGGGGAAUAUUGCACAAUGGGCGCAAGCCUGAUGCAGCCAUGCCGCGUGUGUGAAGAAGGCCUUCGGGUUGUAAAGUACUUUCAGUCGGGAGGAAGGUGGUAAGGUUAAUAACCUUGGCGAUUGACGUUACCCGCAGAAGAAGCACCGGCUAACUCCGUGCCAGCAGCCGCGGUAAUACGGAGGGUGCAAGCGUUAAUCGGAAUUACUGGGCGUAAAGCGCACGCAGGCGGUCUGUCAAGUCGGAUGUGAAAUCCCCGGGCUCAACCUGGGAACUGCAUUCGAAACUGGCAGGCUAGAGUCUUGUAGAGGGGGGUAGAAUUCCAGGUGUAGCGGUGAAAUGCGUAGAGAUCUGGAGGAAUACCGGUGGCGAAGGCGGCCCCCUGGACAAAGACUGACGCUCAGGUGCGAAAGCGUGGGGAGCAAACAGG